rnacentral:lncRNA from 1 species
CCAAAUUGUACACAGAUUCUUACAUGACGACAACAAACAUUUCCCCAUCUUCAAUUGUUGUUGAAGUCCUAAGAGGUGAUAACUAUGAUGAUUGGAGUGCCUGCAUGAAAAGCUACAUGUUAGCUCAAGACCUCUGGGAUUUUAUUUAGCCUACUGGUCUUCAAGAAGGUGAUCAAGAAGUUGACUCUAAGCCUAUUGAUCAUCAAGAAGGUGACUCUAAGGCAUUGAGAAGAAAGAAUGCUGCAGCUUUACAUGCAAUUCAAGUUUCUUGUGCACCACACAUGCUUUCCAAGAUUAGGAGCAUCACUUCAGCCAAAGAUGCCUGGGAUACUCUAGCCAAUUUGCACCGACAACAUUCACCAAGCCACAAAGAGCAAUCUGUUGAAGCAGAGCCAGCAGAAGAUGAUGAGUCACAAGGUUCACGUAUACCAUGACCUCAUUCUCUUCCUUAACUUGUUAGAUUUCCAAUCACUUCGAUCUCUUGAUGUUAACACGGGAGAGAAUAAAAACCUUGGCAGGAGCGGUGAAUGGUCUCUUGCAAACGCUGUACAAGGAUGCCCAUAAUGGAGACUGGGAUGCCAUAAAAACCUAUCUUAGCCAUUACCCAAAUGCAAGAAAGGCCAAGCUUAAACCCUAUGGUGAAACUGCCCUUCAUGUAGCAGCUGAUGCUGGAAAUCUGAAAGUUGUGGAGGAGUUGGUGAAGUUGAUGUCAGUAGAAGAAUUGGAAAUAAAAGAUAAUCAAGGCAACACAGCUCUUUUUAGUGCUGCUACUGUUGGAAUCACAAAGAUGGCAGAAUGUUUGGUGAGAAAGAACGAACACUUGGUUACCUUUGUAAAUGCACAAAAACAGAUCCCACUUGUUGGGGCAUGUAUAUGUAAUCAUAAGGAUAUGGCUCUUUAUCUAUACUCUGUUACUCCAUCUGAAUUUCUUUGUCAAGUUGAUGGCCACCAUGGAUCUUAUUUCCUACAAUGUGCUAUUGAUGCUCAAAUAGUCGGUAAGAAACUUUACCCCUUAAUUACUUAUUUCCCCUUUUUUCUUCUUUUUCUUCAUGCUUUUUGCAUAAAUUAAUUUUCUCUUCCGAGUAAAUUAUUAUUUAUUUCCUGUAAUUUAAUAAAAAUAAUUCAUUAAUAUGUUUUUAAGAAAUAUUUGAAUAAUCCUUUUUGUUUUUAACUUCAAAUCAUUUUGUCAGUUUCAUGUGAUUUUUUAAUUAAUUAUUUUUUCUUCUUUUUAAAUAAUAUAAAAGGGAAGGAAAAUCAGGUAAGAUGGGAAAAGAAGGCAAUAAUAAAUUGAUACGAAACACUAAAACGUCAUCUUUCUUGUUGCUUCUUAUGCUGUUUCUUUUUGCUAUUGCAAUACCAGAUAUUGCUCUUGAUUUUCUGCAUCGCUUCCCAUAUAUGGCUACUGCAAAGGAUGAGGUUCUGGAGACGAACGCUUUGUUUCGUUUGUCUAAGAUGACUCAAUUAUUCCCAAGUAAAAGUCGGCUUGCAUUUUGGCAGCAAUGGAUCUAUUCAUGUUAGUAUCUCUUCCUUUGAUUUUUCCUCUUCCCAUUUCUCUUCAUUUCCUCUGCCAAUCUUUUUUACGUUUAAUGUUCUGUAUGUUUUUGGAGAUCAUCACUCCGUCACAAAGAAAGAAAGGUUCUAUAUGAUAUAAUUUUUGUAAAUUGAGACGAGUUAUUUUUUAAUUUUUGACCCAUAGAAAAAUUGUAAAUAUAUUUAGUUAGAAAUGAUUUUUGGUUUAAAUCAAAAUUUAUUACAAAACUGAGUCAAAAUUUUAAUGUCAUCUAAAGUUUAGGAAAAAAUUAAACUUUAAUUUAUGAAUUUCAACUUAUAAUAUAUCUAUUCUUUAAAAGAAUUACUUUAAAUUUUUUUUAUCAAACAUAUUUCUAAAAUAAAGUUAUUUGAACCUUUUUUUAUAUAAAUGAUCUAUAAAAAAACUACUUUUUAAAUUAUGAUUCUGUUAAAAAAUCAUUUUUUUCAUAAGUUAUGAUAGGCAAACUUGAAGUUAUAUUCGCUAAGAUUGACUUGAUUCUAAAAUCAUGGCAGGUAUUCCCAUGCAAUCAAUUGCUACAACUGAUGACAAUGUUCGUAUUAAUAUGCCUGAUCAAAGCCUAAGUGAGUCGAAGAACAUUAUCCUCCAAGGUACGUAUUUGCACAAAUCUCUCUCUGUUUUUGCUCCCUCUCCUUUAAAGGGGUAUGGCAAGCACAGGACAUAUGUAUACAAGUCUAAUUGGGCUGCAUGGCCCUUCAAGAUUGUAAAAAUCUUGGCCCCCCGAAAUUUUGGACAGUUUCUUUCUCUCUUUCUUGAUUUAUUUAUUUCUAUUUUCUGAAAAUAUAAACUUUUUUGAACCCUAAUCCAAGUAUCCGAUCCUUUAUUCAAUCCCAAAUCCAAUAAAUCUCAUAUUUUUUUUUUAUAAAUUUAGCUGGUCCACGCAUCGGGUCCGCAUAAAACAUUUUAUCAUAUUAAGUUAAUGUACAAAACUUUUUGUUACUGGGGCAAUUAUCAUUAGAUUGAAAACUUAAUACAUUCAAGUUUGAUUAGUAUACAUAUAUGCUGCUUGUGAUAAUUUCUCUAAUUUGUUUUUGUCCAACUUUUCAGUGUCAAGAAAUUGCGUGGGUUUGCAAUAAAUCUCCUCGCAUUCUUAGGUAAGCAAAAUAUAUCUGACGUCUCUUGAUUUCUGUCAUCAUUAUCAUGGUUUUAUCUGAUCACUUUUUAAUGGUUGAUCCAGGAAUCAAGAAAAUGUAUGAUUUGAAGAAGAUCCACAUUUAUUCAUAUAAAAUUCUACGGCGUAUGUGUAUGCAUAUAUCAACUCUGGAUUAUGAGGAAUACCACAAGGCAGGUAUACUCGGAGCAUUCCACAAUGCUGUAGAGAAUGACAUGGUUGAGUUUAUUACUGAGGUGAUUAAACAUUGUCCUCAUGUAAUGUUUAGUGGAGAUGACAACUCAUGGGACCUAUUUAUGUACUCCAUUGCAAACCGGCAAGAAAAAGUGUACAGCCAUUUCUAUGGAUUGGAAGCAAAAAGAGCACGAUUUGUUUCCAUCGUAGAUGCAUCUGGAAAUACGCUGCUACAUUUGGCUUUCUACACUCAACAUCUUUAAACCCUAAACCCAUUUACACAACAUCGUAGAUACAUUUGGAGAACUACAAUGGUACAAGGUGAGCUUUCUACACUCAACAUCUUUAAAAAAAAUUGAUUGAACCUUGCUCAAAGAUAUUUUAGAACUGAUUAAGACCUAAUUGAUUUGAGUUUAGGCUACCCAUUUACACUUUCAUUUUUAUCCGAAAAGAAAUAAUUUCACUCGAAUUCAAAAAUCUUGAUGCAGGAAGUGGAAACCAUUAUACAUCCUAUAAUUGAGGAUUAUCGUAAUGGGAACAAUCAGACACCCAGGGAAUUAUUUACGGAUGGCCAUAAGCACUUGCUAGUGAAAGGAGAGCAAUGGAUGAAAGAAGCAGCAACUUCUUGUACAGUUGUGGGCGCUCUCAUCAUUACAAUUAUGUUUACUGUUGCAUUUACUGUUCCGGUGGCAACGAUCAAGAGACCGGCUAUCCGGUUUUUAAAGAUGAGAAAUCUUUUACAGUUUUUAUAGUAGCGGAUGCAGUCUCUCUCUUUUCUUCAUCAACAUCAGUGUUGAUGUUCUUAGGAAUUCUUACGUCGCGAUACGCAGAGGAAGAUUUCCUUAAGUCCUUGCCCACUAAGUUGAUCAUCGGCCUUUCCAUGCUUUUCUUCUCCAUUGCAGCCAUGAUGGUAACCUUCUGUGCUGCUCUUAUAAUCAUGUUGGAUGGGAGAUUGCAAGUUAUAAUUCCAAUUGUACUCCUUGCUAGUAUCCCUGUAACUUUGUUCAUGUUGCUGCAAUUUCCCCUGCUAGUGGAGAUUUUUGUAUCCACAUAUGGACCAGGAAUCUUCAACAGAAAAAUGAAACGCUGGUACUGAUUAAUGGUGAUAGACUGUUAGAGGUUUGCAGUUUAUUAAUUGUCCCAAUCUGUUUAGCAAUUCCUAUUUCCCCGGGAUGAGAUGUAUAGCGCGUGGGUUGUAAUGGGACUAGUUGUUUUCUGUUCCUCUUAGUAUGUUUAGAGUAUGUAUAGCGCGUGGGUUGUUAUUUUGAUUGCUGCAUCUCUUUGUAAAAGGCUAUAUAAGCCUGCUGUUUGUGAUGAAUAAGCAAGAGACUUCUCAUUCAAGACUGUGUGCUGCUGUAGUUUCUUCUGAGUCUUUUUCUACAAAUGGAAGGUUAACCAUUUCCAUCGUUCUCUCUGAUCAUGCAUUUGGCCAUCUUUGUGAUUCCUUCCAUAGCUGUACAGCCACAAUUAUCUUCUCUUUCCAAGUCUUUGGGUGACAUUAAUACUGCAAUUUUUUAUAGUUACGGAGUACUAAUUAAACAUAAGAGCAAAUAUAAAUUUUAACAAAAAAGCAGGUUCUAAAAAUCUAACAAAAUAAUCUACUAACAAGCUAUAAAUCUGAAAAAAUAAAUAAUAAAAAGAUAAGUUCAACAACUCAGUAAACUCACCUUCUUCUUAUUAUUUUUCCUCAAAUUUCUUUUUAUUUCCUCUAUUCAAAACAUAUAAUGUUCUAUGUGUUGGAGAUUAUUACAUCAUAAUUGAUAUAUAUUUUGAGAGAAAAGAAAAAAAAUGAUUUGACCGCUCUUUGUUACAGGUUGAAUAUUAAUUUUUACCAACAAAAAAGAUAGAAGAUGCAAACUUUUUAAAUGUAUUUUUUUUCAUAAAAUAAUUUUUUAAAAACUUAUGUAUGUGUCUAAUUAAAUAAAUUAAGAAUUAUUUACGUACAUAAAAAAAUAAUUAUUAACGAUAAAUAAAAAUAAAAUUUAAAAAUUUUAAAAACAUAUAUAGAUCAAGAUAUUUAAUAUUGCAGUAUAUGUCAUUUAAUCAUUUGUGUUUAAUAAAUUUGUUUCUUGAAAUUAAUUUUUUAUUAAAUCAAAUGAUAAUAGAAGCCGACAUACAUAAAAUUAAUUGAAUAAAAAAAAAGGAAAAAAAUUAUAUGAAUUGUUGCACGUAUUAUAAAUAUUAUUUCAAAAUAAAUAUUUUUAUUUUAAAAAAUAUAUUUAAUCUAUAUAAAAUGAUAAAAAAAUAUAUAAAUGAAUCAUAUUAAUCUCUUAAAACUUAAAUAUAUAUAAUAUAAUUAAAAAGUAAUUGCCACCAAAAAAAGGUUAAAUAAGCCAACAAAAUCAUAGGGAAUUGUGUUAAUUAAAAAAUAUAUUUAAAAAUUAAUUAAAAAACAUAUAAAAGAUAUUAAUUAAAAAAAUCAAUCAAUAUUGUUGGGUCUAGUAAGUCAAGCUAGUUAUUUGUCCUAUCAGGAAAGGACAAGAGCGCUAGUUUGUAAGACUAAUAUCAUAAGUAGACCCACGUGUAAACGCCCUUAAUUUUUUAAAAACGUUGGUGGAAUGAAUGACAUGUCGUGUGGAAUUAUCUAGAUUUGGGCUAGGAAGACAAGUUUUAUGUUUUUUUGACCUAAAAUACUUAGAAAAAACCUACAAAAAGAAUCGAAAUCAAUCUAAAACCAAAUUAGGCAAUUUUAAGUUACAAACGUAUCUAAGUGGAACUUUCUUAACCAAAUAAAACCCUUGGAUAUAAAGAUGAAUUAUUUUAAUGGUUGAAAUUGGUAUGAUCAUUAUUUUUUUUCUCUCUCUAAUGUUAGAAUCUAAUGACUUUUUUCUUCUCUUUUAAAUUAGAAAUUAAAUAAUAAUAAUAAAUAAAUAAAUUUUUAUAUCAAAAUUAAAUUGAAAAAAUCAUUGAAGAAUUAGAUAUAUAGAAAAACAAAAUUUAUAAUUUUAUCACCACCACACUAUGAUAAAAUUGAAAAUUAUAUUAUUUCUACAUUAGAACAUGUAUAGUAUAUCAUAUAAAAGAUCCAUAUUUCUCCCCAGACGCACUACUAACGGUCCCAACGCCUUUUCUCUCCUAUAAAGAGAGAACAAAAAGAAAAAAGAAGGGGGAAUCGAAGGGAGGAGAGAGAGAGAGAGCGAACAAGAGAGGGAAAAGAGGAAGGAAUAAACCGAAAACAAAAGAAAAGAAAACAGAAAACAAAGAGAAAGGAAGGAAAAGAGAGAAAUAUCAAAAACGAAAAAAAAGAAGGGAAAAAGAAGAAAUCUUUUUUCCCGUCGGUUGAGCAGCAGCACCGCCGCUUGAACCCGCCGUCCGUGAGCCACGACCGCCACCGACCUCCACCGCAGCACCACCCGCGACCGCCUCUUCCACGCCAGGUAACUUCUUCUCCCCCCUUAUUUGUUGGCAUUUUAUUUGCUUUCUCUGCAUGCAGAACGAACGAUUUCCCCCCUGAUGAUGCAUAGAUGGCAAGGCGGAUCCUGAUCCAGCAUUUUUUUUUGGGCCAGACUGAGUAUGGCCCGACCUUGUGUUUGAUGGGCCAGACCAGGUCUGGCCCAUCCCAGCUUUCUGGCCCAAGUUCGUCCCAGAUAUGAGUUUUAUUGGGCCGAGAUCGGCCCAAUCCAUUCUGGGCCAAAAAUCGACCCCAUUCCUGCUGGGCUGAGUCUGGCCCAUUCAGUUGGGUCGGCCCAGCCCACAUAAUAUAUUAUAUUAUAUUAUAUUAUAUUAUAUAUGUAUGUAUAUUUUAAAAAAAUAUAUAAAAAAAUAUUCUAAAAAAUCUUGAAAAAUAUUGUUGAUUUUCCUGCAUUUUUUUUGUUAAAAUGGCUUAAUGUUGGUUUGUAUUUUUAUACUGUAAAGAUACAAAUCCAGUAUAAAAUACCCGGUUUUCGUCAAAACAUCAAAGAUUUUCAAAAUAAAAAAUGUUUUACUUUCAAAAAAAAUUUUUCAAAAGUUCUUUAAAAAUAUUGUUGAUUUUUCCUGCAUAUUUUUAUUAAGGUGGAUUAAUGUUGGUUAGUAUUUUUAUACCGUAAGGAUACAAACCCAGUAUUAAAAUACCUGAUUUUCAUCAAAGCAUAAAAAAAAUAAUAUUUUCCAAAAAAUUGUUUUUUGUUUUAAAAUACGGCCUAGUCUCUCCAAUAUAUAUAUAUAUAUAUAUAUAUAUAUAUAUAUAUAUAUAAAUAUUAUAACAUCAUAUUUUCACACAACAAAGAAAAUUUUCAAAACAAUAUAUGUAUUAGCAUCAUAGUUUUAAAACCCGGACCGGCCCGGCGGGUCGACCCGGGACCCGGCCGACCCGGACAUGAGACCGGUCCGGGUGAAGGCCAAAACCCGCUUGGGAAUUGACCCGGCCAGACCCGGGACCCGGUUGACCCGGCAAGACCUGGCCCCAAACCCGUUGACUUUUAUUUUUUUUUGUUUUUUUUUACUAAAACGACGUCGUUUUGAUUUUUUUUUUAAAAUAAAAAAUAAAUUUUGACCCGGCCGACCUGGCGACCCGGUCGAGACCCGGAACCCGGGCCUUGGACCGGGCCGACCACCGGGCCGGGUCUUAAAACUAUGAUUAGCAUGCAUUUUGGCUUUAAUAACCAGUUUAUUCAAGCCAUGAGAACUAGGUCAAUAUUUCAAAAAUUCUAAAAAAAUCUUUUUGUUUUCUUUUAAUAUUUGGGAUUACGAAUUUAUACGUAAAACGUAUUCCUAAAUAUUAUUAAUAAAGUUUUGGUAUAAACGUUAUAACGGUUAGGAUUUUACCUGAUAAGAUAAAGAUCUCCUUACCGAGGAUGACUUUUCUUAAACCAUACCAACAACUAGGAAAACACGAAAAGAUCUUAGAUUUUAUCAGACAAUAAAACAAUACAGCUUACCUUAAGUAGGGCGUAUUUAGGGUGUUAAUACCUUCCCUUUACGCAACCAGUCCUCGUACCCAAUCUAUGAGACCAGUUAGGGUUCUUAGUGACCAAAAUAUUAGGUGGCGACUUCCAUUUCAUUUUCUACCAAUAAAAGACAAUAUUCUCUUGUCUCCCCAUAUUUUCUAAAUAGAUAUACAUAGAUUUACAUUGUAGAUAAAAAAAAAUAGAACAACUUGUUAUUUUCACCGCGACGCCACACGUGCGACAUAUAUAAAUUGAUAGUUAAUUUAACUAUAUUCAAUCAAACCUGGGGCAUUUAUAAUAAUUUAAUAUUUUAGCGGAUCGCAUAUCCAGUUGUCACCCAUCCGCAGAUGCCCUUUGACCUGAAUGUUGAAUUACGAGGUAGGGCGUUUAUGGAUGACAAUGAGAUGAAAUGAAAGGCUGAGAGUGCUGGACAGUUGAUAGUCUUUGUUUCGAACCGUAGGGAACACCAUAGCAAGAACAAAAACAUAACUUCACUCAAGUUCUUGCCGUCACCCAGACAUUCUCAGCAGUCUGGUCAAGCUUGAGAGAGAGAAGUGAGGGAAAUUAUAAGUGGCUCUGUGAACUGCUACCACACCAUGUAAGUAUUUCAUUGGGUCUUGUUGUUGCUCUGUUCUCUGGCUUUCAUUCGAUGAUAUCUUGGUUCUUGGCUUUCCAGUUUUUCCCCACUCUUUAAUGAUGCAGUGAGUUGCAUGAAGCAAAUUCGAAGCCCUAAAGAAGAUCUGCAUAGCAUGAAGAUCUUACCACUUAGAAAUAAUGGAAAUAUCAUUGCAUCAAUUAUUUACUUAUUUAUUGAGAAUGAUGUAAUAGUACGCAAAAACACCAUUUUAAUGCUUCAUCGGUAGAAAAGAACUUCCAGAACUACAUCAUGAAAUACACUCUAACGUGAUCCAGUUAUGUAGCCCGUCAAUUUUGUACUGAAAAAGUUAGGGCAGAUAUUACUGCUUUUUAAAGGUGUAGAGCAGCUCCGUUUAUGGUUUGCCAUCAAUUAAUAUUAUUAUUUUUCUUAAUCUUAAGAACCAAGAAAAUUGAUGGUUUGCUUAUGGUUUGCCAUUGGCUCGGUAGAUCUUGGCAUCGCUGGUUUUUCUGAUCCUUACCCCCACAUUGUACACAGAUUCUAACAUGACGACGACAAACAAUUUGCAACAACUGAUUCACCAAGCCACGAAGAGCAAUUUGUUGAAGCAGAGUCGUCACAGUCAUCACAAGGUUCAGGUAUACCAUGACCUCAUUCUCUUCCUCUGUUAGAUUUCCAACCACUUCGACCUCUUGAUGUUAACACGGGAGAGAAUAAAAACCUUGGCAGGAGCGGUGAGCAAUGAAAUGAAUGGUCCCUUGCUAACGCUGUACAAGUAUGCCCAUAAUGGAGACUGGGAUGCCAUAAAAACCUAUCUUAGCCAUUACCCAAAUGCAAGAAAGGCCAUGAUUAAACCCUAUGGUGGAACAGCCCUUCAUGUAGCAGCUUUUUCUGGACAUCUGAGGGUUGUGGAGGAGUUGGUGAAGUUGAUGUCAGUAGAAGAAUUGGAAAUACAAGAUCAUCAAGGCAACACAGGUCUUUCUAGUGCUGCCUUUGUUGGAAAAAGAAAGAUGGCAGAAUGUUUGGUGAGAAAGAACAAACACUUGGUUACCUUUGUAAAUGCACAAAAAAAGAUCCCGCUGGUUCAGGCAUGUAUAAGCAACUGUAAGGAUAUGGCUCUUUAUCUAUACUCUGUCACUCCAUUUGAAUUUCUUUGUCAAGGCAAUGGCCACCAUGGAUCUUAUUUCCUACAAUGUGCUAUUGGUGCUCAAAUGCUCGGUAAGAGACUUUACCCCUUAAUUACUUAUCUUCUUCUUCUCUCUUUUAUUCAUGCUCUGUUCGUAAGUCUUCCCUUUCUUUAUUUCCCCUGGUAAAUUAUUAUUUAUUUCCUGUAAUUUAAUAAAACUAAUCAAUCAAUCAAUCAUUAUGGUUUUAAAGAGUACAUGAAUCUUAAAAUCUGUUUAUGGCUUAAAAAGGUAAUAAAUUGGAAUGGUCGAUGUUGGUCAAGGGAUUAUUGAAUAAUUUUUAACACUAAAGGGACUGAUUGGCUAAUAACUCUAAACUAUAGGGACUAGUUUGUAAUUUACUCUUAAUUCCUCCUCCUUUUUUUUUCCUUUUCUUCUUAUAAUAGAUUUUCCCAUGCAAGCAAAUGUGAUAGACUUCACGUUAGUUAUUGAGGGAUUAUCCACUUUUUGUGUGAGAAAUUUACACUUGAUGGUACAUAGAAAUUAGCUAAUUCAUAAACAAAAAUGAGAGAGAGCUUGAUUUCAGAUGGCUUCAUAUGAAACAAAAUGACUUUUAAAUUAAUUUGUUAACAUUUCAAAAUUAGCACUAAAUUAACCUCAUCUCUUCUUGUUCCUUCUUGCGCUGUUUCUUUUGAAUAUUGCAACGCCAGAUAUUGUGUUUGAUUUUCUGCAUCGCUUCCCACAUAUGGCUACUAAAACGGAUGAUGUUCUGAAGUCGAAUGCUUUGAUUCGUUUGUCUACCUCACCUCAAAUAUUUCCAAGCGCAAGUCAACCUGCGUUUUGGCAGCAAUUCAUCUGUUCAUGUUAGUAUCUUUACUCCUCGCUUUCUCUUCGAUUUUUACUCCUCGCUUUUCUCUUCAUUUCCUCUCAGAAAUCUAUUUAACGUCCGUAUAAUAUUUGAUGUGUUCUUAGAAGCUAUCUCACAGUAAUUUAUACAUUCAAGAAAGAAAGAAAAACAGAGAAAGAAAAGAAAGAAAGAAAGUAAACACAUGCAUCCAUGCACAUGGGUUCUUUGUCCUGCCAAAUUAAGUCAAGCUAUCAUUUUAAGAGAAAAACAGCGUGGACAUGAUUUUCAUUAAAAUUAUCUCUAGUUUUAGUUAUGUUUCAAAAGAAAUUGAAAGGGCUAAAGGCGUUUGGAGGCUCAACAACAGCGCAGCAGCAUUGGUGUCUGCUAGAACAGCUUCUUGAUCACCAGAAGCCUUAAAGGCACUUGGGACUAGCGUUUUGCUUGGCCUAGGACACAUGCAUGAUGUCUUUGCUUUUUUACAGUUUUCUUAAUAAAACUGCUCUCUUAAAGCAUCAUCUUUCUUGUUGUUCUUAUGCUGUUUUCUAUUGCAAUCCCAGAUAUUGCUCUUGAUUUUCUGCAUCGCUUCCCAUGGAGGGCGACUAAGGCAUUCUAUACAUUAACCCAGCCAUUGUUAAUUUUGCUGGCAUCAAGCUGGAACAUCGACCAGCAUGGGCAUUUUCAAGCCCAUUCUAGAUGAUUACUAGAAAAUUCCCUAUAGAAGGGGAAGGAAGAAGCAGCUUGAUCUUGAUUGUUUCUCUUUACAUGAACUGCCACCACACCAUGUAAGUAUUUCAUGAGGUUUUCUUGUUGCUCUCUUUUCUUGCUUUCAUUCAAUGGUAUCUUGGUUCUUGGCUUUCCAUUAUUUUCCCCACUCUUUAAUAAUGCAAUGAGUUGCGUGAAGUAAGUUCAAUGUACUGAAAAAAAUUUACAUGGCAUAUAGAUCUUAGCACUAAUUGAAAAUAAUGAAAAUAUUCGUGCAUCGAUUAUUUACUUAUUUAUUGAAAAUGAUGGAAUAGAAGGCAAAAAAUACCAAUUUCAUAUGGUAUCGGUAGAAAAAUACUUCCAAAACCACAUUAUGAAAUACAUUCUAAUGAGAUCCAGUUAAGUAACCCAUCAAUCUUUUAUUGGAAAGGUUAGAGCAAGUAUUACUUCUUUUUCAAGGUCAAUUAGCCGCCCUGCAACUGCUUUUAUGUUUGCUUGUAAUUUUACCAUCUACGCAUCUGGUACAUCACGAUAGCCAUUUAAAAAAAACAAAUUUUUAAAAAAUAGAUAUAUUAUAUCUUAUUAUAAAAUGUCUAGUUGACGAAACAUCUUAUAUAAUAUUACUAGAUGCCAUAAUAUUACUAGAUGCCAUGACCGCGCGAUGCCGUGGACUUGUGGCAUGUUUGUGUGUUUUCGUGAGUUUGUGAAAAAAAUCAUAAAAAAAUAAUAAAAAAAAUUAUAUGGAGAAAAAUUGUUGCAAUCCACAUUAUUUUCAAGAAAAAAGCUAAAUUUCUAACCAGUUUAAUAUUAAAAAUAUAAAAUCGACAAAGGUAAUUUUAGAAAAAAUCAUAACAAAAAAAAGGAAAAAAAAACCAUGUAGUGAAGCACUGUAGUAAUUUAUAGUGUCUCAUGAGAAAAUCUACAGUUGUAAUUCUCAACCAGCUCAAUAUUAAAAAUAAUAAAAUCGAUAAAGUCAAUUUUAAAAAAAAUCACAACAAAAUAAAAUUAUAUGGGGAACACUGUAGCAAUGUACAGUGUUUUAAAGAAAAAAAACUACAAACAACUAGCUCAAUAUGAAGAAAAAAAAUCGACAAAAAAAAUUCUGAAAAAAAAAAUAAAAAAAAGAAGAAUACAAUUUUGGGGAAAAAAAGCAAAAGAAAAAAAAGAAGAAAAAAAAUAUGUAGGGAAAGUUAAAGUUAAAGUUAAAUUUUCAACAAGCUUAAUAUUAAAAAAAAAAAAACAUUCGACAAAAAUGAUUUUGAAAAAAAAACAAGAGGAAACACUGUAACAAAAUAAAAAUCAUAUGGGAAACAUCGUAGCAAUCCAUAUUAUUUUAAAGAAAAACACUACAAAAUAAAAUUCUUAACAGCUCAAUAUGUAAAAAAAUAAAAUCGACAAAAAUCGUUUUGAAAAAAAAAAAUUUAAAAACCAUGUAGUUGUAGCAAUUCAUAAUGUUUUAAAGAAUAAAAACUACAUAAUUUAAUUAUCGACCAAUUUAAUAUUAAAAAAAAGUGAUAAAAAAAAUUUUAAAAAAAGAAGAAGAAGAAGAAGACAAUCUUGGGGGUAAAAAUAAAAACAUGUAAAACCCACACAAAAAAGGGUAAAAAUUAAAAAAAAUGUGGGAAAAAAAAUGUUAAACAAAAAUAAAAGGAAAAAACAAAAAAAACAAAACUCUGCUGGAUUUGAACAAUAUCACUAUCAUGAGAUCCUAAUAAAUUACUUAAGCAUCUAAUCUGGUUGUCCAGGUGUUGUCUUCUAGGACAACUCAUCUCAACAACUGAACAAAGCAAAUCAAAAAGCAGUGCUAGACCCACAACGCCAUAAACAAAUUGGAGUUUGGCAGAUCAGAGAGAUUGGGCCUAUAAUGUUACAGUUCAGAUUAGUAGAUGCCUUCUAACGGAGGAUAAAAAAAUGUGGGGAAAGUAACAGUACUUUCUCCACACACGUAACUAGGGUGUUUGAAUGGGAGGUAGCUUUUGCUUUUUUAAGUAAAAAGCAUGUUUUUUUAGCUUUUAGAGAUGUGAUUUGUACUUAAAAGAUAUUGUACCUUUGACAAAAAGCCACAAUAUUCCUAAAAAGUGUAUUAUUUGAGAUAAAUUAUAUUGCAGGUUUUAUUUAAAAUUAUUAAGAAUUUAUCUUUUUUUUUUCUUCUCAAUAUUCCUAAUUCUAGUGUUAUUGAAUAAAUUCAUAAAAUUUUAAGUUUUUUAGAAAGUAAAAACAAUUUUUUUAUGCCUUUUUUUAUUUUUGUUUACCUUUUUUAUUAUUAUUUUCCCUUUUUAAUUGAGAAUAAAAAAUAUUGCACAAUAUAUUUGCAUUUAACAGGUAUGUGGAUUGAGCAUAUAACAGGGAAAAAAAACAAUACACCAAAAAACAAUAUGAGAGUCCACAAAUAAAUAAACAAAGAUCCCUAAAUUUUUCUUUAAUUUUCUAAUAUAAAAAAAAUUUUAUUUUACCAAAUAUCAAAACAAAAUGGGAUAAAAAUUGUAAAGAUAUAAGGAUGUGUUUUGCUGAAAAUAUUCUAUAAUUUUAGCUGGUUGGAUCAGAGAUCUAGGCUCGAGCCACUCUUCUUCUUCUUUUUUUAUUGGGUUAGAUGUAGGCAAGCUGUACGGGCUAGGCCAGAUUCAGCCUGGCCUGGUACCAGUAACUGGCUGAGUUGUUUUCCCCGCGGGUGUGUGAAUUUAAUCGCACACGCCUGCUACAGUCGUUGGUUAAUUAAAAUGUGAAGAGAGGGAAACCGAAGCCCUUACCUCUGCGACCGGAUGCCGAAGCUUGAAGAUGAUGGCGUAGCGUUGGAGAGCUUUCCUUCUGCUAUACCCGUCGUUCCUCUUCUCUGUGACCUCUUGUUUCUUUUUCUGUCUUCUUUUUUUGGUUUUGGUAUUUCUCUCCCUCGGUCUCUCUCUAUCCUCUCUGUCUCUUUUCUUUUUUUCUUUUUCUUUUUUCCGAUUCCCUGCGAUGGCUGCUUCGUUGGCUUUUGACAGGGGACUCUCCUUUACUUCCGCCCACGUCUCCUUUCCUGAGAAGCACGGCGUGGGCGGAGUUAUUUUUUCUGCAAGGACUCCAGCUGGGCAGCAUUUCGGUUUUCUUCACUGGUAGCUUCCCAUGUUGUCAGACUCGGCCAGUUUCGUUUUUCGUUUCAAAAUAAUUUUAAAAAAAAUAAUUUAAUUUAUUUAUAUUUAUAGAUAAUUUUAAUGUUUUAUAUUAAAAAUAAUUUUUAAAAAAUAAAAAAUAUAUUAUUUUAAUAUAUUUUUAAAUAAAAAACAUUUCAUAAAAACAAAUUAAAAUUAUAUUCCAAACAUCCAUAAAAAUAAUGAAUGGGCACGAAACUACAUCAUUUCGGGGGUGGUGUAGCUGUUUUUCAAUUUUAUCCUCUACGUUUUGACAUUUCUUUUAUCAACUCCUAGGACAAAUUGUAAUUAAACCUCUGCGGCACCUCUUACAAAAAGUUUAAUUGAGUCUUAUACUUUACUUAUUAAUUCUUUCCAUUUCUAUCACACUUAACUUCUAAACUCAUAAUUUCACCCUGUAACCCUUAACACUUUCCAUUUAUGUUGUUUUGACUUCAAUUUCAAUUUUUUUUCAUUUCAUUUUAAUUUUUUUUAUAUAAAAAAUACAAUUAAAAACAAAAUUUGAAAUUUGGGUUAUUACAUCAUCAAUUGAGUUUAUAUAUAUAUAUAUAUAUAAAAAAAAAAAAAACUUAAGAACCAAGAAAAGUACCCUGGUGAGUAAAACAUGUUCCUAUCUUACACACUAAUAAAAGCUAAAUGUUAGCUCAAGACCUUUGGGAUUUUAUUGAGCCUACUGGUCUUCAAGAAGUUGACUCUAAGCCUAUUGAUCAUCAAGAAGGUGACUCUAAGGCGUUGAGAAGAAAGAAUGCUGCAGCUUUACAUGCAAUUCAAAUUUCUUGUGCACCAUACGUACUUUCCAAGAUUAGGAGCAUCACUUCAGCGAAAAAUACUUUCCAAUAUGGUUGGAGCCUAGGGUGUU